rnacentral:lncRNA from 1 species
CCCAGGCCCCUUCCCAGGGACGUGUUAAUUACCUUCCCCCACUGGUCCCCAUGGGUAACCGGGCUGGAAAUGAGCCAAGGCAGGCUCCAGCUUACUUUGCUCUGUUCUGCCUGGGAAAACCAACGGUCCUCAGCCCCAAGCUUGGCGCUGGUGCAGGGAUGUGGAAUUUUCCAGGAAAACUUCAAAAUCAUCACCGAGAGGGGAAGACAUUUGAAAACUGAUCUUGAAGAGGAGAAAGAAGAGGCAGGCCAGCUUCCCCAGCACGGAAACUCCAAGUCACCUGCCUGGGAAGAAGCACGGAAAAAAAAUCCCACGGCCAUGCCCUCCCUUGGAAAAAAAAAAUUCUAGGAAACAAAAUACAACGACAUCUUUUUAUUUUGUUUUUUUCGGUAAUUAUACUAAAGAUGAAAAACUCAUAAUAAACAUCUCCCAGUCCCCACCUGCUAACAGUAAUUAUAAUAGACUCAACAAUAAAUGGUAAAGCAGGGCAGAGCUGCAUCUCGGGAAUUCUCUAGGGCAUGUGGAUUAGCUCGGAAAGCCUGAAUGAUUAAAAUACACUAAUUAAAAUUUUGUGUUCCUUGGUAACUCGUCUGCCUGGGCCCCUGGUGUUGGCAAAAUGGGAAUUAACGUGACAAAAGCAACACAGAGGGUUUUUGUUUUAAAUAAAGAAAAAAAGAGAGAGAGAGAGAGAGGGAGAAGGGAAGAUCUAUAUAAACAAGUUAGACACCAGGAGAAAAGAAAGACGAGGUGGUUUUCUUCCCUCUUUUUCUAACGAGAGCACCAGGAUGCUUGGGACAGAGAAGUGUAAGGUAAAGGGUCCAGGGCCUGGACCGGAGUCCCUCUGCCCUGCUCUGGGGUCCUGUGAGGGGCAUGGGCAGCAUGUGUCCAGAGGUCACUGUUUAGAAAUAAUUACUGGAGAAAGGAGGGCUGGAGGGAGGGCAGUGGGGAGAGCAGGCGCCCACCCCAAGUCCGGCUUCCCAACAACAUUCCUCUAGGGCGGGUCACAUGCCCCCAAUUCCCCGCCCCACGGCCAACGGGACCCUGGGAGGACGCAAGGGAGCUUCUACCCCAUUGCAGUUGCACAAAAGAAAUUGAACACUUUUGAGUUGCCCUUAGCAACCUAAUUGCAUCAGUACAUUGCACACAGGAGCCAAAGUAACUGAAUUUUGAUGAAAAGACGGCGGUAAUUUACGGCAUCACAAAAUUAGUUGUCAUGGCGACGGGUUAAUUACAUCUCAAAUUAACAAUGCAAGUGUGGUGAAAUUAAAUAUAAAUCAUAUUUUCUGCAUAAAUUAUAGGGGUUGAUUAGACCGGGGCUCUGGGAGAGGGAAAGGUUGAGCCGCCACGGGCCCCAAGCUGCAUUCUGAGCUGCCGAGAGAGGCGCCUGCAAACGCGGGCGCGGAUGGGGAGCUCUUGGAGGGGAUGGGGGACCGGCGGAGUCAGGCGCCAGGGCUGUCGGGGCUGCCUCCCUCUGCUCCCGCUGCCGCUUGCAGGCUUGGCUGGCUCCACACAGCGCCAGGGCUGUCCCCAAAGUUUGCUUCUGUUUGGCUCAAACUUUGGCUAGGGGAGGGGGGGCCGAGCAAGAAGGAGGGAGACGGCAGGUGCUUCUUAGCUGAGUGCCAGAGACACGAGUUCUACCUUCAACCAUCCCAAGUGACUUUCCCGCUUUCUGUGCCCUGAGCCUUCAGAGAACCCUCCACAGAUGGCCGGCUUAACCUUGCUCUCUUCAGUUAAACGGGGUCAAAUGGUUUCUGAGUCACAUGUAUCUGCCAACGGGGGGAGGAGGAGGAGGGGGUCAGGCCCUGUGCCACCCGACAGGUAAAUGGCGUGCGGCCGGGGCCGCGCCAAGUGGGCAGCAUUCACUGUAGGUGUCCGGGGUAUCCAGAGCCAGACCACGGGUGGCAGCAAACACCUCUG